GACGAACGCUGGCGGCGUGCCUAAUACAUGCAAGUCGCACGCAGUGGGGACGGGUGAGUAACACGUGGGUAACCUCCCAUCAGAGGGGAUAACACUUGGAACCAGGUGCUAAACCGAUACUGCUGGAUGGACCAGCGGUUCAUUAGCUAGUUGGUGAGGUAAAGGCCUACCAAGGCGACGAUCCGUAACUGGUCUGCGAGUAUGAUCAGACACACUGUAACUGAGACACGGCCCAGACUCCUACGGGAGGCAGCAGGGGGGAAUAUGGGACAAUGGGCGAAAGCCUGAUCCAGCCAUGCCGCGUGUGUGAAGAAGGUCUUCGGAUUGUAAAGCACUUUAAGUUGGGAGGCGUGACCAACAGAAUAAGCACCGGCUAACUUCGUGCCAGCCGCCGCGGUAAUAC
rnacentral:rRNA from 1 species